rnacentral:rRNA from 1 species
CACGUAGGGUGCGAGCGUUGUCCGGAAUUAUUGGGCGUAAAGAGCUUGUAGGCGGUCUGUCGCGUCUGCUGUGAAAAUCCGGGGCUCAACCCCGGACUUGCAGUGGGUACGGGCAGACUAGAGUGUGGUAGGGGAGACUGGAAUUCCUGGUGUAACGGUGAAAUGCGCAGAUAUCAGGAGGAACACCGAUGGCGAAGGCAGGUCUCUGGGCCACUACUGACGCUGAGAAGCGAAAGCAUGGGGAGCGAACAGG